GGCCUACGGGGGGCAGCAGUGGGGAAUAUUGCGCAAUGGGCGAAAGCCUGAUGCAGCAACGCCGCGUGAAGGAAGAAGGGUUUCGGCUCGUAAACUUCUAUUAACAGGGACGAAAGAAAUGACGGUACCUGAAUAAGAAGCCCCGGCUAACUACGUGCCAGCAGCCGCGGUAAUACGUAGGGGGCAAGCGUUAUCCGGAAUUACUGGGUGUAAAGGGGGAUUAUGCGGCAUGGUAAGCCAGAUGUGAAAGCCUUGGGCUUAAACCGAGAAUUGCAUUUGGAACUAUCAAGCUAG
rnacentral:rRNA from 1 species